CUGGGUUUUUCGCGAAAAAGUUAUGACAUUUAAUUUUUUCAAACAUUUUAAACUAAGGUUUCUUUAAGUUACUGAUAUAUAUACGGGAAAUAGUGGGUCAGAUAAACUUACUAUGCUAAGAAAAUUCAGCCCAAUGAAAAUUGAACUUUCUUCAGCUGAGAUUAGUAUAAAAUUAGUACAUAUAUUUAAUGAGCACCAUAUCAAAAAAAAUCAGAGGAGGUCCAAAUAAACUAGAAGUAUAUGAUUGCAUUUGAAGUAACUACGAAAUAAAUACUAAAUAUAUAUUAUUAUUAACAACACAGGUCUAGAUUAUUUUAAGAGAGUAACGAUUUAUUCGGCUACCAAAUAACAUUUGCUCCAUUGACGUCUAUGGCAAAAUUGUUAUGAUAAUCUAGCCCAUAAUGUGACAUUUCUGAAUUCAGAUACUUUAAAGAAUAGUAUCACCAACAACCUCUUAAUGUGAAAAACAUGGUGAUUUUUAAGAUGACUUUUUGUUUCAUUGACCCGGAAAGGUAUUCUACUUCAAUAUAUAAAAGACAGAUUUAAUUCUAUGUGCCUAUGUGCCUAUAUGCAUAUAUUUGCAUUGCAUGAUUUUACCUUUUCACUGUUAAAAUUAAAGAAAAAAUUCUAAACACAUUGUAUGCAUUAGUAUAACAAUGUAACAUUGUAUCCCACUAAAUAUUACCAUUAAGAAUUUCAGAAUUUGAGAUUGACCACAGAAUCAUUGUGUUCUCAUUUUUACGAUGUAUGGUUCUGUAUAUCACAGAUAAAGAUGGAUUUGGGACUGUUUUGUCAAGCAACUGCAAUUUCUUAUUUAUUUUAUAUUUAAUCUAUUUCUGUACUGCAUAGAACAUUCUCAUAAAUGACAAAUAAAC